AGAGGGGAAAGCGCAGCCCUUUUCUUGGCCUCCUAUACUUCCCUUCUUGUUCUAGGGUUUUGCCCGGGCUUUAGGGUUCCGCCGGGCCGCCGUUUUCUCCCUCCAAACAACCCGAUUUCUUGAUUCGGCGCUUCUGAUUCGAGACUUGAGAGAUUUUAGGAUCUUGAUUCUUUGUAGAAGUCUUGCACGAAGCACCCCGGGCUUUGCUGAAGAACUCCGUGACGACGGAAGCCCCAAUGCUGGUGACAGAUAGAUUCGCCGUUCCGUGUUGCAGUUCUGUUCACGAAUUCCUACGACCGAUCUGUGUCGAUGCUAUGUCUCUAAUUCUUAUGUACACUAUCUAUACAACAUGGCAUAGGGUACAUCUUCAGAAUGGAAGGUGAAUAUACUUUGUGCAUAAAACAAUCUGCAGCUCUACCUUUCCUCCUAAGGUGCUAUCCUUUCCCAAUCAGCUUGCUACAGUUGCAAGACAUAUGAGGAUUGUAUAUGUGCAUCUUAUCAUGAUUGAACCCAAGUAAAAGCUUAGGCUACAUGUUCCACAGCAUUCUGUCUUUUACUGAUAUGUAACGUUUUAGAUUAUUUUAAACUCAAUAUCUUCAAAUAAUUGGGAUUUUGCUGCUCCCUAUGUAAAAUUUAUUUACAAUAAUUAGUGGUGCUACCAAGAUUGAUAAGGUUUUGAAACAAUAAUAUUUGAUAAUUAAUCUUUUUGCUUCUUGAGUUACAAAAAUAUAGCGAUUAUUCUUACUUGUAUUUUGCGUUUAACUAAUCAUAGGACAUGUUUCUUCUAUUUGGCUAUAGUUGAUAUUGGAGGUUCUAUAUUGUUCCCAUGUCUUAAGUAAAUCUUUUCAUUCUGAGGUUAUCAUUGGACUAACAUGUCGACACUUCAGCUUUUUUGCUUCUCAUUUUUUUGGUGGAGCUCAUUGAUGGAAUAUGUGAACCUUAUUGUUUUGUUGUACGCUUCAUUGGUCUCGUUCUCUAUGAUGUUGAAUUUGUAUGCUUUAUUGUACUCUCUCUCUCUCUCCCCCCCUUUCCGAAUAGUUUAUCCCUUCUUUUCCCUCUUGAUUUUUGGGUUUUUCUUCAUUUUCUCCUUAUAUUAUGUGGUAGAUUUUAUAAUGGUGGUUAGGAUUUCCGCUACAUGUACCAAGGUUAGGGCUUUGGGUUGCCCUUGUCUUGAAGUUGCUGGAUCUGGCUGUAGCUAUAUGAAUCAAGAGAAGAGGGAAGAAAACUGGUCGGCUUGUCCUCCUUAUUGUUGGCAACCCGCUUACCAAGCUUCCCACAUUAAUCUGUUCUUAAAAAGUAGCUUCCUAUUUUAUUCUUUUUUAUUUUUUGUGAGAAGGGCAGAAGAAGGAGAUGGUGCAUGUGUUAGCCAUUUUUAGAGGACCUUCUCACACAUCAAGAGCUAUCCAUUUUCUUUGAAUUUUUAAUGUUUUUAUUAAUUUUUUAAAGUGAUGAUAGCUCGGCCAUUAUCCAGGCAAGCUGCUUUUUAAUUGCUGCAGAUUGUGUCAUCAAUGCCUACAUCCGAGUCUUAUUUUCUUUUACUCAGUUGCUCUAUUGUUCCAUGCUGUUCUCUAUAAUCUGCAAUUAUAUUUUUGCUCUUAUUUUCACUCUAUUUGUUUUUUGUGGAAAUAUUUGUACUUUUAUAUUGAUUUAUUAGUUUGUAUGCUUUAAUAUCUCUAAUUACUUUUUGGUUGGGUAUUGCUAUGAAACUUUUUGGUCCCCUAUGAUUUGGACUUCACACCUAAGUGCAACUAGUUUGAUCUGAGAUUAUGGCUGAUAUGCCACCCAAACAAUAAUGAAUAUUUUUCAGCUGUUAAUUUAUGUCUCCAGAAAAUCAUUGGUAACUUAAUAUAUUCAAUUUUACCAUCGAAUCAGAAUGAGGUUGCAGAGUGUAAUUACUGUAGAAAGAGCUUUAUAAAGAUUUUAAGUAGGUGAUAGAUAUGUCUUUACCCUGAUGCUGAUCAUCAGAAAGAUUGACAACAUAUGGACCUGGUAUUUUGGAUUGGGCUUUCAAUGUCUGGAUGGAAACGGCACAAAGUCUUGUACUGCAGCAAAGUUUUGAAUUAUCAUGGACCAGAGUUUCAUAGUAUGUAUUAGUCGUUAUUAAAGUCUUGUAAGGACCCGUGAUUAUUGAAAUAACUGUUGUUGCUGCAUCACCGUUUGGGCAGAUUUUACUUUGUAGAUAGAGAUGGUACUUUCAAGUUCAUGUCUAUGCUGCUGUCAACUUUGUUAGUGGUGUGGGCAGGCAAUCAUUAGGUGAAGUCCCUGCAAGAACAACUCUUUCAAAGAUGUCUUGAAUGAUGGAUCCAGUCCUGUGGCUGUCCUUGUGAACUGAAAUGAAUUGUUAUCCAAAGGGAGUUGGUAGAUGUCAUGGAUGCUUGUUUUUUAUUUGAGCUUUUGCACUCUUCAUCCAGCAUAAUCGGCACCAUGGAAAGAGCCAAUGAGGAGCCUCGUUGGUGAUUCCAUAGCUACUGGAACAAUUGAUGGUGCAAAACAAAUGGAAUAUGCCUAUGUGCGAGAGAAGUUUGCGGAACCUGAUCCUGAUGUGUGUCAAAGAAAUGGUUUUGAGAACUGGCAGCAGUAUGGAACCUUGCGCUCAAGGAAUAUGUCUUCAAUCAAGGCAGCUGAAACUUUGAAGACCGAGCCUGAUCCACAUGACGACAUGGGUGGCCGGCCAAGAAGUACAAAGAAUCGAAGACGACGAAGAGCCUGUAGCUGCUAUUUGUGCACGUCUUCAGAGGGCCGUUGACAUUUUAUUUACUUAUUUAUUUGUAUUUUAUUUGUAUUUGUCUGCGAUCUGCAGUCAGAUUUGUUUGGUAUAAUAUAUGCUGAUUUAAUUUGCCGAAUAAACAUUGGAAUUUCUCUUUCUUGUUGACUUCUCGAAGAUGUCAUAACAGGUGAACUUGGGCGAGCUGAAACUUACUGUGGCUUGCAAAACUUACAUGGUGAUCAUUAAAUUAAGGUCACAUCAAUUCUUAAACAAAA